rnacentral:rRNA from 1 species
AGAGUUUGAUCAUGGCUCAGGAUGAACGCUAGCUACAGGCUUAACACAUGCAAGUCGAGGGGAAACGACAUCGAAAGCUUGCUUUCGAUGGGCGUCGACCGGCGCACGGGUGAGUAACGCGUAUCCAACCUGCCCACCACUUGGGGAUAACCUUGCGAAAGUAAGACUAAUACCCAAUGAUAUCUCUAGAAGACAUCUGAAAAGAUAAGUAAUCUAUCGGUGAUGGAUGGGGAUGCGUCUGAUUAGCUUGUUGGCGGGGUAACGGCCCACCAAGGCAACGAUCAGUAGGGGUUCUGAGAGGAAGGUCCCCCACAUUGGAACUGAGACACGGUCCAAACUCCUACGGGAGGCAGCA